rnacentral:rRNA from 1 species
CGAAUGAGGAGAUUCAUCGUCAGCUUAUUCAGUAUUAAUCCAGGCUAUGAUGUGAUAAUAGAACCCUUGUGGCCACUAGAUUAUACUUGCUUGUAUUAUUUUUGCUGGGUAUGUCGGCGUGCACUUCACCUCUAGUAGAACGUCGCAACCCGUUGGAUGUUUAUCUAUGGCUUGAAUGGUAGCCUUUGAUAUUUUUUAUAUUGAAGACCUUCGAUGUCCUGAUAAACUGUUUGACGGUAUACAUAUGGUAUUGAGCCGCGAAUUAUUUGCGUUAGACUUGCCGCAAGUAUGACUUUAUUCUAGUAGUGCGGAUCUAAUGCCGUCGCUGGACAAAGUCUGCUGUUAGCUGUGUAA